AGUUGCGAAGGCGGCUCUCUGGACUGUAAGUGACGCGGAGGCACGAAAGCGUGGGGAGCAAACAGGAGUAGAUACCCUGGUAGUCCACGCUGUAAACGAUGAGUACGAGGUGUCGGGGGUUACCCCCUUCGGUGCCGCAGCUAACGCAUUAAGUACUCCGCCUGGGAAGUACGCUCGCAAGGGUGAAACUCAAAGGAAUUGACGGGGACCCGCACAAGUAGCGGAGCAUGUGGUUUAAUUCGAAGCAACGCGAAGAACCUUACCUAAGCUGGACAUCCCAAUGACAUCUCCUUAAUCGGAGAGUUCCCU
rnacentral:rRNA from 1 species